rnacentral:misc_RNA from 1 species
UUUUUUCCCUUCACCUUUUCCGAUUUCACUGUGUAGAACCAUCAUCCCUUUAAUCUUGCCAACUGGAAAGAUUUGGAUCUAUGAGCCAUCCAGAUCUUACCAUUUCUUUGCAACCUAUGCUGAAGGCCACUCCUUGCUGCAGAUGACUAAUCCAGUUCAGCUAGUUUUAAUUAACAUUAUCUCCUGCUGAUGACUAAUCCAGUUCUUGCUGCAGAUGACUAAUCCAGUUCAGCUAGUUUUAAUUAACAUUAUCUCCUGCUGAUGACUAAUCCAGUU